rnacentral:rRNA from 1 species
UGUGUGUUAGUGGAAGCGUCUGGAAAGGCGCGCGAUACAGGGUGACAGCCCCGUACACAAAAAUGCACAUACUGUGAGCUCGAUGAGUAGGGCGGGACACGUGGUAUCCUGUCUGAAUAUGGGGGGACCAUCCUCCAAGGCUAAAUACUCCUGACUGACCGAUAGUGAACCAGUACCGUGAGGGAAAGGCGAAAAGAACCCCGGCGAGGGGAGUGAAAAAGAACCUGAAACCGUGUACGUACAAGCAGUGGGAGCACGCUUCGGCGUGUGACUGCGUACCUUUUGUAUAAUGGGUCAGCGACUUAUAUUCUGUAGCAAGGUUAACCGAAUAGGGGAGCCGAAGGGAAACCGAGUCUUAACUGGGCGUUAAGUUGCAGGGUAUAGACCCGAAACCCGGUGAUCUAGCCAUGGGCAGGUUGAAGGUUGGGUAACACUAACUGGAGGACCGAACCGACUAAUGUUGAAAAAUUAGCGGAUGACUUGUGGCUGGGGGUGAAAGGCCAAUCAAACCGGGAGAUAGCUGGUUCUCCCCGAAAGCU